rnacentral:pre_miRNA from 1 species
CUUAAGCAAAAUCAUGAAUUUUCGUGUCCAACUUUAAUUAUCUAUCCUAUUAAAAAUUAUUAGUAUUUUUAUUAUAAAACAUGAGUAAUAUUUUAUACGCCACGACUUAUGUUUUUAAAUUUUUUUUAAGAAAAUAAGACGGACACUUAAAGUUAAACAUGAGAACUCAUGAUUGCUUUUGAA